UACGAAGGGGGCUAGCGUUGCUCGGAAUUACUGGGCGUAAAGGGCGCGUAGGCGGUUUGGUUCGUUAGGCGUGAAAUUCCUGGGCUCAACCUGGGGACUGCGUUUAAUACAGCCAGACUUGAGUGUGGAAGAGGGUCGUGGAAUUCCCAGUGUAGAGGUGAAAUUCGUAGAUAUUGGGAAGAACACCGGUGGCGAAGGCGGCGACCUGGUCCAUUACUGACGCUGAGGCGCGAAAGCGUGGGGAGCAAACAGG
rnacentral:rRNA from 1 species